rnacentral:rRNA from 1 species
UACGUAGGGGGCGAGCGUUGUCCGGAUUUAUUGGGCGUAAAGAGCUCGUAGGCGGCUUGGCAAGUCGGGUGUGAAACCUCCAGCUCAACCUGGAGACGCCACUCGAUACUGCCAUGGCUAGAGUCCGGUAGGGGACCACGGAAUUCCUGGUGUAGCGGUGAAAUGCGCAGAUAUCAGGAGGAACACCGGUGGCGAAGGCGGUGGUCUGGGCCGGCACUGACGCUGAGGAGCGAAAGCAUGGGGAGCGAACAGG